UAUGGUCGAUCACGCUUGGGGUAGUAAUAUGCGAGGAUUCGGGAACUUAUACAGGGACCGGGGCACAACUUAUGCCCGCAUCGCGUUUAUAAAAAUUCGACAAAGUAAUCGCACUUCUUAUCCGCUUCAUGUUAUGUUGGUGCCCAUUGUAUUACUUCUGCAAGGUGCAUGUGCAUCAAUACGGCUGGAGGCAAGAAGAGAUGACCUAGAGUGCAACAGAUAUGAAGGUAUCUGUGUAUAUCCCGCAGGCUGCACCUGCCACCCCAAUCUAAGAUAUGGACGACCCGCCAGAGACCUUUACCACUACGAGCCCCGUUUAAACCGGUGUUUUAGAUUAGGACACACGCAUAACUGCAACGCAUUUCUAACAAUACAAGCUUGUCUUAUGUACUGUGUACGCCACCGAGGUUAGUCAUGUACAUUGUUCAUAUUCGAAGAGUGGUGUCAUAAUAAAUCAA